rnacentral:rRNA from 1 species
UACGGAGGAUGCGAGCGUUAUCCGGAUUUAUUGGGUUUAAAGGGUGCGUAGGCGGAAUAAUAAGUCAGUGGUGAAACCCUGCAGCUUAACUGUAGACUUGCCAUUGAUACUGUUUUUCUUGAGUAUGGUCAAGGCAGGCGGAAUGUGUAAUGUAGCGGUGAAAUGCUUAGAUAUUACACAGAACACCGAUAGCGAAGGCAGCUUGCUGGGCCGUUACUGACGCUGAUGCACGAAAGCGUGGGGAUCGAACAGGAUUAGAUACCCUAGUAGUCC